AACGAACGCUGGCGGCGUGCCUAACACAUGCAAGUCGAACGAGAAAGGGGCUUCGGCUCCGAGUAAAGUGGCGCACGGGUGAGUAACACGUGGGUAACCUGCCUCUAAGAUUGGGAUAACUCGUCGAAAGAUGAGCUAAUACCGAAUAAGACCACAGUUCCCGCGGGAACAGGGGUCAAAGGUAGCCUCUGCUUGCAAGCUAUCACUUAGAGAUGGGCCUGCGCACCAUUAGCUAGUUGGUAGGGUAACGGCCUAACAAGGCAAAGAUGGUUAGCUGGUCUGAGAGGAUGAUCAGCCACACUGGAACUGAGACACGGUCCAGACUACUACGGGAGGCAGCAGUGGGGAAUAUUGCGCAAUGGGCGAAAGCUUGACGCAGCAACGCCGCGUGAGUGAUGAAGGCCUUCGGGUCGUAAAGCUCUGUCGGGAGGAACGAAUGCUCCUGAGGUUAACAGCCUCGGGAGGUGACGGUACCUUCAAAGGAAGCACCGGCUAACUCUGUG
rnacentral:rRNA from 1 species